rnacentral:misc_RNA from 1 species
GACGAACCGUGCGAACGUUGUUCGGAAUCACUGGGCUUAAAGGGCGCGUAGGCGGACUGCACAGUCAGGGGUGAAAGCUCCCGGCCCAACCGGGAAAGUGCCUUUGAUACUGGCGGUCUCGAGGGAGGUAGGGGCACGUGGAACUUCCGGUGGAGCGGUGAAAUGCGUAGAUAUCGGAAGGAACGCCGGUGGCGAAAGCGACGUGCUGGAUCUCUACUGACGCUGAGGCGCGAAAGCCAGGGGAGCAAACGGG